GAUGAAGAACGUAGCGAAAUGCGAUAAGUAAUGUGAAUUGCAGAAUUCAGUGAAUCAUCGAAUCUUUGAACGCAUCUUGCGCUCCUUGGUAUUCUGAGGAGCAUGCCUGUUUGAGUGUCAUUAACUUCUCAACUACACUGACUUUGAAUUGGUGUGGCUUGGAUUUGGGGGGAAAAUUGUUGUGGGCUUUUUGUAUAGUCUGCUCCCCUGAAAUUGAUUAGCGGUACCUUUGUGGAACUGUCUACAGGUGUGAUAAUUAUCUACAUCUUAGACAUCUGCUGGAAUGCUGCUUUCUAAACCUUACUUGUAUUGACAAUCUUGACCUCAAAUCAGGUAGGACUACCCGCUGAACUUAAGCAUAUCAAUAAGCGGAGGA
rnacentral:misc_RNA from 1 species